rnacentral:tRNA from 1 species
GGAAGCGUGCCCGAAAACAAGGACCUCCUUGAUAGGGAGGGUUAUAGGGGUUCAAAUCCCCUCACUUCCU